rnacentral:rRNA from 1 species
GCCUACGGGGGGCAGCAGUGGGGAAUAUUGCACAAUGGGGGAAACCCUGAUGCAGCGACGCCGCGUGAGCGAUGAAGUAUUUCGGUAUGUAAAGCUCUAUCAGCAGGGAAGAAAAUGACGGUACCUGACUAAGAAGCCCCGGCUAACUACGUGCCAGCAGCCGCGGUAAUACGUAGGUGGCAAGCGUUGUCCGGAUUUACUGGGUGUAAAGGGCGUGCAGCCGGGCCGACAAGUCAGAUGUGAAAUCCGCGGGCUUAACCCGCGAACGGCAUUUGAAACUAUUGGGCUUGAGUACCGGAGAGGUG